UGACACUCAGCGACUUAGCCACUUAGUGUAGUUCUGUUCGCCUGGCGCGUCGGUCUGUGUUGCUUCUAAAUAUUAAUUUGCUACACCUGCAUGUAACCGUGUAUCGAUGUUCACUGAAGGCUACUGAGGUUCCCCGCCGAUUUUAAUCCAUCUUAAGGUGGCUGCAGGAACAGUCCGUCACAGCUUCUUCCACUACUUGUAUCUUAAGAGGUUUCAAUUAAAAAUUGAUCAGUACUGGGGUCAUGAUUAUUUUUAAGAUUGUAUACAACUUGCAAUCGUAGGAUUAUUGGAUUUUUUGCACAUGGUUUACGUAUUUUUGCGUGUCCUGUCGAGAAUCUGGAACCAGGAUUACACAUCCAUAAGUUUUGCUAUAAGGGGGGGCAAGGAGAUUGAACAAGAAGUGAAGAAUGAAGUUAGUAUACCCCAACAUUCCUGGGCGUAUGAAGUCUGUAUUAAUGCUUUCAAUUAAAUUUGGUUCAAAAACAGCCCAUGUGAUGAGUUUCAAACUUAAUAUGUGUAACUUUGCAUAGAAAACUGUAAUACUCUAAAGUAGCAGUGCUGAAGUUGACGCACCCGAAUAUAGAUGGCGACAGACUCAUAUUUUACGUUUGCUUUCAAGGUUUAAAUUGUUGUCUAAUUUUAAAUAUUAAUUAUUAUAGACUCAAAUCUUUAUUUUUGUAUGCUUUUACGUAAUUUCUUUUUGUAAUUUACAUUCAAAAUUUAACGGCUGCGCAAAGCAUUUAUUAUAAAUUUAUUUGUGUGCGAUAAAUAACUCAAUAUUUAUGCUAUAAAUGUUAUGAUGAAUUUACAUCAGCUGAGAAAAACUAAUUGAUUUUGCUGAUUAGCAGACUAUUCUUUGUAAUUUUAAGUUUACUUGUAAUUUAAUUGUAGUAAAAUUCAGCGCAAAUCAUAUGUUUAAUGUUUAAUUGUUUAAAAUACUUAACAAGAUGUUUGCUUUCAAUUGAAUUGUUGUAAAAUCCAGGAAAAAUCUUGCAUUUAAAGUGUUUUGGCAUAAAACAUUUGCGAAUAUUUUUUUAGACUGACGCUAAAUUGUGCGCUAAUCUUGUUUUCGUAUUUAUAAUUUUUAACGACGAAAACUAGACAAGAUAUUUACUUCCUAUUUAAUUGGCUUAAAAUGCUGCCAAAUUCUUGUAUCAAAAGUUUAUUAGUGUCGGCCACUUGACAAGUUGUUUGCUUUCAAUUUAAUUGGCUGGAAAUUGGAUUGUUGCUACAGUUUGAUUGUGUGAAACACUUGAUUCCGCAAAAUAACAGAACUCGCUUUGAAAAAGUUUUAAAUGGAUGUUUAGGGAGAAAUAAUACAAAAAUAGAAUAGAAAUGAUAUUAAUGCAAAAUCAGGAAAUAAGCAGAGCUACAAAAUUUUAAUUCGCCUACAAAUGAUUAUUGUAAUAUUACUGUAAUUGCUGUGUUAAAUGUGAAUGUUUGUAAUGUUAUUUUCUGUUUUAAACAGGCAUGUUUCUUGUGUUAGUAGUGUAGAAACUUUGAUAUUUGUUUUAAUAGAUAGAUAUGUCAGAUAAGUGUUUAUGGUUGCUGUUUGUAUAAUUUGUAAUUUAUUAACAACACUUAUAAAUAUAUUUAAUUAGUGAAAUACUAAAUAUUUAAUAUAUGUAAUUAAAUUUAAUAUUAGGAACAUCUUGAAUAUGCGGUAAUUAUGUUAAAGAAAAUAUUUUGAAACUUAAAUGUUUUAUCAUAUGUUAAAGAUUUGUGUACUAAUAUACAUUUUGAUGUUUAAAUGGAAAAUAUGAACAAUUAUCAUGAACAA